rnacentral:rRNA from 1 species
UACGGAGGGGGCUAGCGUUGUUCGGAAUUACUGGGCGUAAAGCGCACGUAGGCGGCUUUGCAAGUUAGGGGUGAAAGCCCGGGGCUCAACUCCGGAAUUGCCUUUAAGACUGCAUCGCUAGAAUUGUGGAGAGGUAAGUGGAAUUCCGAGUGUAGAGGUGAAAUUCGUAGAUAUUCGGAAGAACACCAGUGGCGAAGGCGACUUACUGGACACAUAUUGACGCUGAGGUGCGAAAGCGUGGGGAGCAAACAGG